GAUGAACGCUGGCGGCGUGCCUAAUACAUGCAAGUCGAGCGAACGGACGUGAAUCUUGCUUCUCUUAUGUUAUCGUCGGACGGGUGAGUAACACGUGGAUAACCUAUCUAUAAGACUCGGAUAACUUCUGGAAACCGGAGCUAAUACCGGAUUAUCUUUUGAACCGCAUGGUUCUAAAGUUUAAGACGGUCUUGCUUUCACUUAUAGAUGGUUCCCCGCUGCAUUAGCUAGUUGGUAAGGUAACGGCUUACCAAGGCAACGAUGCAUAGCCGACCUGAGAGGGUGGAGGGGAACACUGGAAUUGAGACCAGGUCAAGGCUCAUACGGGACGCAGCAGUAGCGAAGGUGACGCAAGGGGAGAAAGCCGGACGGAGAAACGCCGAGUGAGUGAGGAAGGUCAUCGGAUCGUAAAAGUAUAUUAUUAGGGAAGAAGAGAUGUGUAAGUAACUGUGCAGAUCUUGACGGUACAUGAUCAGAAAGCAACGGCUAACUACGUG
rnacentral:rRNA from 1 species